rnacentral:misc_RNA from 1 species
UUUCCGUAGGUGAACCUGCGGAAGGAUCAUUAUCGUACAAAAUGUGAGGGGCAUGCGAGGGCUGUCGCUGACCCAAAAGUCGUGCACGCCCGAGUGUGUCCUCUUGCAUAAUAAUCCAUCUCACCCUUUGUGCAUCACCGCGUGGGCACCCUUCGGGAUCAUCUCGGAGGGGGGCUCGCGUUUUCACACUAACCCCCCUUUUAAAAGUGUAGAAUGACCACAUUUAUGCAAUCAAUACAACUUUCAACAACGGAUCUCUUGGCUCUC